rnacentral:tRNA from 1 species
GGCGUGGCUCAACGGUAGAGCAGCUGAUUUGUAAUCAGCAGGUUGGGGGUUCGAUUCCCUCCAUCA